GAGUUUGAUCGUGGCUCAGGAUGAACGCCGGCGGUGUGCCUAAUACAUGCAAGUCGUACGCACUGGCCCAACUGAUUGAUGGUGCUUGCACCUGAUUGACGAUGGAUUACCAGUGAGUGGCGGACGGGUGAGUAACACGUAGGUAACCUGCCCCGGAGCGGGGGAGUAACAUUUGGAACAGAUGCUAAUACCGCAUAACAACAAAAGACCACAUGGUCUUUUGUUUUGAAAGAUGGCUUUGACUAUCACUCUGGGAUGGACCUGCGGUGCAUUAGCUAGUUGGUAAGGUAACGGCUUACCAAGGCGAUGAUGCAUAGCCGAGUUGAGAGACUGAUCGG
rnacentral:rRNA from 1 species